AGAAAAAUUGAUUGAUAUUGAACAACAGAUAGUACACCUACACUUUAGAGAUGGUGUAUAGUGGUGUAAUCACAUAAUGAAUGCUUGAUAGAAGAAUGAUAUUUCCUUGCUAAGCAGCUUUUUGUACAACAGAAAUUUGGACUAACCACAAAUAUAGCAAUGAAGUUAUUGAUUUGUAACAGGUUAUAGGAAAGUUUCAGUCUGGUUACACCAGACCUUUAGCUUUUGUAUUCAUAGUCAAUCGAACCAGAAUUUACAUCUUCAUUGUUGUCAACCGUGACACUAAAGAGAUUGGUCUUAUUUCCACCAUUAGUGAGCUAAGAAGAACUGAAGUUGGGGUAGAGACCGAUGAUUGGUCUUAUUUCCGCAAUUGAAUAUCAUCUUCACUAACUAUUAACUAAAUACAAAUAAAAAAAUUCUGUAAUUUAAUAAAUAAAAUUAAAACAAAGUUAGAUGAUGUGAUUGAACUUACCUAUAUAUAAAUCUGGUAAAUCGCUGAGCCUGUGUAAUCUAAUAAAUAAAACACUUGUUUCUGCCAUCGAGCUCCAAACAAGCUUUGUUGGCGGCAGCUGCUGCUCUUCUUU
rnacentral:lncRNA from 1 species